CUCCUCUCCUCUCCUCCUCUCCUCCUCUCCUCCUCUCCUCCUCUCCUCUCCUCCUCUCUGAGUCAUCAGGGUUCACCUGAUCAUUAUUUUCUGAAGUAUAUUUAAGUAAAUAUAAGUUAAUUUGAGAUAAUGAGAGGAGCUCCAGGAGACCAGAAGGUCUGGAGAAACCCUCCACUGAUACCAGGAUGCAGAUAUAGUCCACAUGAAGCUCUAAAAGAGGCAUCACAAUAGAUUUGAUAUAUUAUAACUUAAAGUCGCUCAAUAAGACGAUCAGACUCAUCAUCAUCAUCAUCCUCAUCAUCAUCAUCAUCAUCAU